AUUGAACGCUGGCGGCAGGCUUAACACAUGCAAGUCGAGCGGUAACAGAGAGAAGCUUGCUUCUCUGCUGACGAGCGGCGGACGGGUGAGUAAUGCCUAGGAAUCUGCCUAGUAGUGGGGGAUAACUUGCCGAAAGGUAAGCUAAUACCGCAUACGUCCUACGGGAGAAAGGAGGGGACCUUCCGGCCUUUCGCUAUUAGAUGAGCCUAGGUCGGAUUAGUUAGUUGGUGAGGUAAUGGCUCACCAAGACCGCGAUCCGUAACUGGUCUGAGAGGAUGAUCAGUCACACUGGAACUGAGACACGGUCCAGACUCCUACGGGAGGCAGCAGUGGGGAAUAUUGGACAAUGGGGGGAACCCUGAUCCGGCCAUGCCGCGUGUGUGAAGAAGGUCUUAGGAUUGUAAAGCACUUUAAGUUGGGAGGAAGAGCAGUUAACUAAUAUUUGACUGUUUUGACGUUACCGACAGAAUAAGCACCGGCUAACUUCGUGCCAGCCGCCGCGGUAA
rnacentral:rRNA from 1 species